rnacentral:miRNA from 1 species
UCUCACAUCACUUCCCUCACAG